rnacentral:rRNA from 1 species
AUACGUAGGUGGCAAGCGUUGUCCGGAAUUAUUGGGCGUAAAGCGCGCGCAGGUGGUUCCUUAAGUCUGAUGUGAAAGCCCCCGGCUCAACCGGGGAGGGUCAUUGGAAACUGGGGAACUUGAGUGCAGAAGAGGAUAGUGGAAUUCCAAGUGUAGCGGUGAAAUGCGUAGAGAUUUGGAGGAACACCAGUGGCGAAGGCGACUGUCUGGUCUGUAACUGACACUGAGGCGCGAAAGCGUGGGGAGCAAACAGGAUUAGAUUCCCUGGUAGUCCACGCCGUAAACGAUGAGUGCUAAGUGUUGGGGGGUUUCCGCCCCUCAGUGCUGCAGCUAACGCAUUAAGCACUCCGCCUGGGGAGUACGGUCGCAAGACUGAAACUCAAAGGAAUUGACGGGG